ACAGUGCAACAUUAUUCACUUACGUGGGAAGUAGUAUUCCGGCAUAAGAGUCUGUAGUCUUAAUUACUGGAAAUUAAUUUAAAUGUAUUCAUAUUUAUUUUAAAUGCAAUAAAACACACCAACUUGUGUUCUUGCCAAAUUAUAUCAUAUGCAGGUACAGUAUUUUAAAAUAACAUUUCAUUAUGUAUCAUGUAAAGCACAUUUCACAGUUCCAUCACCAACUUCCAAUUUUAUUAGUAUCAAACCACUGCUACAAAAUUACAUCAAACAUGAUGAAAAUGAACUUGCAUACGUGCUAUACACAAUGUAAGCUUUAAAGUAAUUAAAGUAUAUGAUUCUUUUUUUUUUUGACAAUAUCAAUAUAUAUCAAUGCCACUUAAAGCCAUAUAUGUCAUUCCAGUGAUCUAGAGCCUAAAAUAUACAACUAUAUCCCUGGUGGCUAAAGUAUCUCCAUACACAUGUAAGUAAAGAUGACCAUUUCAAAUUUCUCAUCACAGAAAUUUCAGCUUCAAGAGUUGAGGAAAUAAAAGUACAGCCAUCCCAAUAUGGUUACAAUGUCCAUUUUACUUAGUCACCAAACUGAACGAAACAAAAUAAAAGGUACCAAAAUCAAAUAAACAUGUAUAUACAAAAGUAACCAAAGCUCACCAAAUGUUUUCCAAAAGCAUUAGUGUAAAUUUGGAUCGUUCUGGCGAGUGUCCUCUGUGCUCAAUUACUCAGUAGCAGACGGGUGGUUUCACUGGUGGACUUAUUCCACUUCACAAAAUAACUGCUUAAGAUAUGAACGGUGCCAACACAAAUUGCCCAUGCCAUUCAAAACAGCUAGCAACAAUUACCAGGCCAACUAACAUCUAAUGAGACGAUAACGGUGAAUAAAAGAGAACGGUGUGUUUUUCGAAAACCAUGGACUUGCGUAACCAAAAUUGAUCCCUUGCUUUUCACAUAAAACAUUUCUCCUGAUGAGACACAAUUGGCAGUUUCAAACAGAGCUCAGCGAAAGACGGCUCUGCUAAAACCGUAGCAUUAUCAAAACCACUGCAUCAGUGCUUGGCUAACUUGUUUUCCAGCUCAGUGAAAAUAACGAGCGAGGGGGCCGACAAAAACUUGAUGGCGAGAAACAAAAAAAGCUUUAGAAUUCACUCAUUCUCAUUUUGGCAGCUACUUUAUUAUCCAGACAAAUAUUUUGCCAAUGGAUGUUUCUACCGGCUAAGUACAGUCAUGGCGGCUGCUUCAUUUGUCAUCAGUUUCAUAUCAUUCGAAGGUUUAACACAACAGCCGCAAACCAAAUGGGCGGCACGAAGGAUUAUAGGUUUUUGUUCUUUACGGUGCGCCGUGGAGUCAAUUAGAAUACUGCAAAACUGCAAUUACUGGCAAGCAUUUUGAAAAGGACAGAGGUUUAUGUAGAUUACUGUCAGCCCUGCCAGAGUGCUGCUGAGAGAGCGAGCGCUCACAGCUGGUUAAUGCAGCACCUUCCAGCACUCCACAAAAUCAUCCUCCAGAAACUGACAAAGGCACAGGAAGAAUUUUAUUAACUGCCAGGUCAGAAGAAUCACCUCCCCUGGCCGCACACACAGCACUCUCAAACCGACUUUUAAAAGAGUCUGGCCAAGACAGAGAUGGAGCUGACAGGUUUUUAAUCAUUGAAAUACCGCCUCCCACCCUCAUUCUGUCUCGCCAGCAGCUUCGCUCGAGAUAGGAGACAAAGUAUCUUAAAUGUUUGGGUUUUUCGGGCCUUACACGUAUGGUUACACAUCCACCGAAGACUUUUUUGUACCGAUAUGUGCUCAUAGGAUUUCGAGAAAAAAAGUACCGAAAUUGCUACCUCAUACCACACGGCAAGGACUCCGGGAAGGUGCUGGAACCCAAGGGGUCUCCUCGGGCCACAACAUGUGCUGCUUGCAGUAAUUUGAACCCAUUCGAAAAUAGCACCGGCCUUUUGGGUUUUUGUGACCACUGGCACCACGCAAAUUCUGGAUAUCUGUCGCUUGGCUGACGUGAGAAAUUUCGAAACUCGUCAUUGAAUAUUAAUGCAUGUCCAGGAAUGUGAUUAUCAAGUCAUUAGAUGCUCAGAGUGAAAAUUUGCAGCACAUUUGCCUGUUAUUUACAGACUCAUUUGAAAGGCUGUAACUUUCAGGAGAAUUAUGCAUGCAUGAAUGCUCUUGUCUGCUUUUUUUAUCUUGAUAUCCACUUACGCAGUUUUAAUGAUGCUUUAAUGAGCUCUUUGUUAUGGUUUCAUUCACAAUAUUUAUUAAAAGAGCAUGUGCUACUUUUAUUUUUUUUACAGAACUCAAAAUUGGCAGACGUUUUUUUAUUAUUUUUUUUAAAUUGCCCUUUUAUCAGCUAUUAAUUAGAAGCCAGAAAUACUACGCAACACUGAUUCGUCUGGUAUACUAGCUAUGAAUGGCAAAUGCAUGAGGCUUAGACAUGGCAUUUGACAUGGAAUGGCAACAGAUCAUAUCAAUUAAUACUUUUAAAGGCACAUUUUAUACAGUACUUGCUUCUAGAGUGGACUCAGAAUAUUGAAAUGCAGCGUAUUUACUGUAACUGUCAAAGCUAUUGGUGUUAAUCUGCGAUUAUGGAGGUUUGUGGUAAUGAUAAGCAAGUGCAAUGUUACUUUUUAUAUCACAACGGCGAGAGCCAGGCCCUCACAGCGAUGAAUAUUUAAACUUCCCUCGGUUUGAUCUUUGAGGCUUUCAGGUCUGUAAUAAGCAAAGGGACAUACAGGUGAGACCUAUAUGAUUCUGUGACUGAUUCUUCGUCAGAAUAUAUCUGUUGUAAGUGAAAUAUUCAGACACUUCCUGUCAUUGAAAAUGUACUUUGUGCAUAAAUAAUAUAUAAAAAGAAUCUAAAUUCGUCACGCGUUAACCAAAUAGCAUAAGUACAGUCCAUAGGAAAGGACCCAGUAUUGCACACUGAGCGGAAACGAUUCUGUGAUGACUUUCACAUGAAAAGAACAUUUCAUCAUAGCUCAACAGACAGGCCUAGUGAUGUUCAGUAGUGUGGAACACAUUUCAUUAAGUCAAAGCAGCCUCGAAACUGGUUUUGUUCUCAAAUUAUCGAUUUAUGGUAAGUGGCCACCUUAACAUACAUAUUAAUUUGACAUGCAGCACAUUUAUAAUUUCUGCACAUCUUAAUAUACAACAAGUGUGUGGGAACUAGGGUAGAGGUUAAACUAAACCUAGACACUGGCUCUACCAAUAAGAUAAAAUGAUUUCUACUUUCUUGAAAUAUACACACACGUGACUUGUUUUCUAUUAUACCGUAUGACUGGUUCACACCCUCUGAGUUAAAAGAAGAUUAUUUGAUUACAAACGGUUCUUUUUUCCAACUUCUACUCGUUUGACAAGAAUCAACAACAGUUGUGGCAUCUAAAAUGAAAGACAACAUUGUAAACUAUGCCAUACUGCAUACGUAUUUUGAAAUAAUAUUCAUUCACACGUUUGGAUCCACACUUGAAAGUUUCAUAUUGUCCCCACAAGGGAAGUGCAUAUUCUUUUUUUUCUGCUUCCCUAUUCAAAACUAUUUCACACUGACAGAAGCAAAGCAGGUAAUAUGUUAAUACAUUAUAAAAAUCCUGUUCAAAUGAUUACAACCAUAAAACAUA